UGAUUCAGCGGCGGAUGGGUGAGUAAUGCCUAGGAAUCUGCCUGGUAGUGGGGGACAACGUUUCGAAAGGAACGCUAAUACCGCAUACGUCCUACGGGAGAAAGCAGGGGACCUUCGGGCCUUGCGCUAUCAGAUGAGCCUAGGUCGGAUUAGCUAGUAGGUGAGGUAAUGGCUCACCUAGGCGACGAUCCGUAACUGGUCUGAGAGGAUGAUCAGUCACACUGGAACUGAGACACGGUCCAGACUCCUACGGGAGGCAGCAGUGGGGAAUAUUGGACAAUGGGCGAAAGCCUGAUCCAGCCAUGCCGCGUGUGUGAAGAAGGUCUUCGGAUUGUAAAGCACUUUAAGUUGGGAGGAAGGGCAGUAAGUUAAUACCUUGCUGUUUUGACGUUACCGACAGAAUAAGCACCGGCUAACUCUGUGCCAGCAGCCGCGGUAAUACAGAGGGUGCAAGCGUUAAUCGGAAUUACUGGGCGUAAAGCGCGCGUAGGUGGUUCGUUAAGUUGGAUGUGA
rnacentral:rRNA from 1 species